UACGUAGGGGGCAAGCGUUGUCCGGAAUCAUUGGGCGUAAAGAGCGCGUAGGCGGCCCAGUAAGUCCGCUCUGAAAGUCAGGGGCUCAACCCCUGAAUGCGGGUGGAUACUGCUGGGCUAGAGUCCGGAAGAGGCGAGUGGAAUUCCUGGUGUAGCGGUGAAAUGCGCAGAUAUCAGGAGGAACACCAAUGGCGAAGGCAGGUCUCUGGGCCACUACUGACGCUGAGAAGCGAAAGCAUGGGGAGCGAACAGG
rnacentral:rRNA from 1 species